AAAGAAGGCUGGGUUUAAGGGCCCACACGCGUUUAUCGAAGGAAGAAUGAUUACUGGGUAACUCUGUUGACAUGAACCAAAUUGGAACUUAUCUUUGAGGGGCCAGGAGCUCAUCUAUGCUGCCAUGCCCAUCAAUGGGGUGCUGGCAAAGAACUUACCUCCAGCCUCACUUCUUGCCUCUGCUUACUAACGGUCGUCAAUGGAGAGAUGCAUCUAUUGACCCAGCACUAGGAGACUUGCAAGGUGAUGUGAAGUCCAGGCUGACAUACGGGCUUCAUACUGAUGUCUCUAAAUGGAGAGAGACCUGGUACUUGGCAUGAACAUUUUACUAGACAACUUUUACUUGUCUUUUUUUAAAUUAUUGAAUUGAAUGGUAUCAGUCAAUAUGGGGAGGGAGAAACCCAGUGUAUUCUGCACCAGGAUCAGGUAACUCCUGGUGUAUACAGGACACCAUAUAGGAAGGUAUGACCACUCUGACAUGUUUACCAAGGUAGCCCAAUUAUCACCAGACAAAAUGUUGAUAGGCACAGUAUCUGUAUCGGCAGGGAAUGACAAUGAAUGAUGAAAGGUGCACAUUGUUAUAUCAGCAGAACACUGAUUCUAUGGUUUUAUGUAAAGGGUUGUUUAUUCUACAUGGACCUGUUACUACAUUUGAAUGUUAUCAAAACACUUAGUUUAGAAUAUCUACACACAUUAUUUUUAUUUACCUUUAUUUAACUUGGGAUUCUUAUUUACAAUGACGGCCUACUAAAAUGCCUCCUGCGGGGAAGGAGGCUGGAAUUAUUUUUUUUAUUUUUUUUAAUUCAACACGCAUCACGACAAGAGAGACAACACUACAUAAAGCGAGACCUAAGACAACAACAUAGCAUGGCAGCAACACAUGACAACAAAGCAUGGUAGCAACACAACAUGACAACAAAAUGGUAUCAACACAGCAUUUCAGCAGCACAACAUGGUAGCAGCACAAAACAAGGUACAAACAUUAUUGGGCACAGACAACAGCACAAAGGGCAAGAAGGUAGAGACAACAAUACAUCACGCAAAGCAGCCACAACUGCCAGUAAGAGUGUCCAUGAUUGAGUCUUUGAAUGAAGAGAUUGAGAUAACUGUCCAGUUUGAGUGUUUGUUGCAGCUCGUUCCAGUCGCUAGCUGCAGCAAACUGAAAAGACGAGUAACUCAUGGAUGUGUGCGCUUUGGGGACCUUGGUAGAACGGGUGUUGUAUGUGGAGGAUGAGGGCUGCAUUAGAUAUCUCAGAUGGGGCGGGGGAGUGAGGUCUAAGGGUUUUAUAAAUAAGCAUCAACCAGUGGGUCUUGCGACGGGUAUACAGAGAUGACCAGUUUACAGAAGAGUAUAGAGUGCAGUGAUGUGUCCUAUAUGGAGCAUUGGUGGCAAAUCUGAUGGCCGAAUGGUAAAGAACAUCUAGCCGCUCGAGAGCAUCCUUACCUGCCAAUCUAUAAAUUACAUUCCCGUAAUCUAGCAUGGGUAAGAUGGUCAUCUGAAUCAGGGUUAGUUUGGCAGCUGGGGUGAAAGAGGAACGAUUACGAUAGAAGAAACCAAAUCUAGAUUUAACUUUAGCCUGCAGCUUUGAUAUGUGCUGAGAGAAGGACAGUGUACCAUCUAGCCAUACUCCCAAGUACGUAUAUGAGGUAACUACCUCAAGUUCUAAACCCGCAGAGGUAGUAAUCACACCUGUGGGAAGAGGGGCAUUCGUCUUACCAAACCACAUGGGGUGGGGGGGGGGGCA